CAAUUCAUCAAGAAACUAUGAUAAUUCUAAAUAAAACCCAGAAGUGAACUUCGAAAUAUGAGAACUUCGAAAUAAAAUGCACAAUGGCAUCUUAAGAAAUUCUAAAUCAAGCUAAAACACUUUAUUCAGGCUGAAGGCAAAUGAUAUCAGAUACGUAUCUUCAGAAAGAAAAUGAAGAACAGUGAAAAAGGUAGAUAUCUGGGUAAAUACUAAACAGUGUGUCUCUUUUCUCAUGAAAUAUAUAUCCUAUAUGUAAAUAUAUGUAAUGUUGUGUAUGUAAUGUUUAAGGCAACAAUGUUUAUACACAUACUAUAAGGUCUGUUUAAGGCAAAAUUACAACUUAUCUUCAUGGAUAUAUAACCUGUGUAGAUGUAAUAUGUAUGAAAAUUUUAGCUAAACGAUGGGGGUCUUGGCGACCUGGCCUAUAUCGUUGUACUGUUCCUACAAUUUAUAUAAAAUGGUACAAUUUUAACUCUAUAUUGGUUAUAAAAAGCUAAAUAUAUGCACUGUAAUUCUGAGAAUAAACAAAAUGUAAAAAGCUAUAGUUAAUGAACCAAUAGAUAACAUUAAAUUUCAGAAAUACUCAAAUAAUCCAAAAAAGCAAGUAAAGGAGUAGAGUAACAAAAAACAAUAAAGGGGACAAAUGAAAAACUACAAUGAAAUGGCAGAUCUAAACUGAGCCAUAUCUAUAAUUACGUUAACUAUGAGAACUAAACACCCAGUUUAAAAGCUCUGCCCAGACAAAAGUAAGACCCAGCUAUGUGCUAACAGAGAUGUAGUUUAAUUACAAAUAUAUAGAAAAAUGCAGAGAUUCUAAGACAAAGAAGCAUGACCCAGUUAAUAAGAGAUGUACUUAAAACUUAAAGAUGAAGAUAAAUUCAAAGUAAAAGAAUGAAGAUGAAAAAUAUAUAACAUACACAUAGUAAACAAAAGAAGGCUGGAGUUGCUGUAUUAAUAAUAGAUAAAAUCAACUUCACACAGAGUAUUACUAAAGAUAGAGGUGUCAUAAUGAUAAAGGUAAUUUCAUUAUCAAAGCAUAAUAGUUAUAACUACGUGUGUGUUUAAGAAUAGAGCUUCAAAAUAGUUGAUGCAAAAAUUGACAGAAUUAGACAAACAGAUAAUUAGAAAAUAUAAACAGAUCUUGAGAGAGAUUUUUCUCCUCGUUCAGAAAUCGAUAAACUAGAUUUAAAAUAUCAGUAAAGAUAUAGAUGAUCCGAACAACACAAUCAAUCAACCAUCUUGACCUAGCUGACCUUGACAGAAUGCUACUGACAAUGCAGUCAUUCAAGUGCACAUGAUACAUCUACCAAGGUAGAUCAUGUUCUGGGUCACAAAAUGAGUUUUCAUAAAUUUCAAAGGAUUUAAAUCAUAUCAGACAAAUAUAUCGCAUAUUAAACUUUCUUUAAAGUAAGACAACACCUCUUUUUCUUGCCAUGUUCCCUGACCACAAUAAACUGGAAAUCAAUAACAACUAAAUGUCUAGGAAAGCCCUGAACAUUUGGAAACUAAACAAACCCCUGUAAAUAAUCUAUGGGUAAGAAAAGAAAUAACAAAACAGGAUAUAUUUUGAUACUGGCUUCCUUUCUCUUUUUCCAGCCCCAACCCACUGGGCAAGCUCUGGUCCUUGUGCCUUUGAACUGGCCCUCUAAGACACUCUUCCAGCAGACAUCUGCAUAGCUUCGUUCUCUCGGUUCUGAUGGUGGCUAAAGGAUGUACAAGAAACAAAAAUGACAGGAAAAUCCUAGAUUUCAAGUACUGCUUCUGCCUCUCCUCUUGGGCCGAAAAGAAGCCACAGCCUCGUGGACUUGAACUCUACACAUGCUCUGAUUAGCUCGCAGCAAAAAUGAAAGCGUGCCUCAAGCAUGUUUCUGGAGCUUUUCCUCUUCAGCCUUCAUUCCGUUUUGGAACUCUGCUGUGCAACCUCAGCAUUCUCCCUGCAGUUUCUAUUUCCUCAACUCAGCAAGACUUUGAGGAUAUGCUUGGCACCCUCUUCCUGUGCCCAUUGCAACGAAGCAGCAAACUGAGAGACAGAGAGAAUACACGCCCAAUGCAUGUGGGGUUCUAUCCCACAACCCUGGGAUCAUGACCUGAGACAAAGUCAAGAGUUGGAUGCUCAACUGACUGAAACACCCAGGCACCCUAGAAGCAUCCUUUAAGAUACUUCAUGCAAAGGAAAAUUGCAGCAAGUGUCCAGUUGUCUGGUUCAUUUGUUCGUUUGCACAUACAUGUUUUUACGUACUGGACUUACAUCAUUAUGGGAGGGUAGAUCUUUUCUUUGAAAGUGUUGCCCCCUUGUCAUGGAGAAGAGAUGUAAACAAUUACUAGGAAGCACAGAACCGUGGUUCCAAUAAUUAUUAAAUUAUUAAUAAUAAUUAUUAUUACUAUUAUUCAAUAAUAAUUUCAAAUUAAUAGAGAGUACUCAUGUUCUGAAUGUUAUUUUACCCUCUUCUUCUGCUUUUAAGAAAUACUUGGCCUUCUUUCAGAUUCCCACCAUCAUAAUUCUCUGAUUUUAUAACCCACCUGUGUGUUAGGAGUAAGGGACAAUAUAUGUGUACUGUUGUGGUACAAAACCAGGAAGUUAUAAAUUUUUGUCGUAGUCAAGGCUUUCCAGGUGUUCUCAAAGUCAAGCUGAAUGCAGACUUUAUGUUUUCAUGUAUUUCUUUAUCCUUCUUGUGCUUUCAAGUUGUUCAUAUACUUACAGGGUAGUUGACAUAGGACAGACAAUAAUGGUAAGUAAGUGAUUAAACUGGAGGAUUGAUCAUGGCAUGAUUAGGGUAUUUUAAGCAGUCAGAGUUGGUCCAUUUCAGGCUCAGGUGGUUCCUGCUCUGUGGUCAGUCUUACCUGCAUGUAUUUCAGAGUGAGCAACCGUAUCUGGGUUCACUGGCUGUUCUGAGGCACUAACUUCUGUCAACCACUCAGUCUAUCAUCAUCAUGACUGAGAAUUGAAAAGCAAAGAGAUUGACUCUUCAUUUCAUAAAUUUAGUUUCUGUGCAAGAGUAUAAGGGAUUGUGCCUACUUGCAUUAUGCCAGACACUUCAUGAAUAAAACAAUGCAAGAUCGAGCACUUCAAUUCUUCCAGUCACAAAUUCGGUUCAUUAAGAUGGUGGUUGUACUGCAAAUAUUUUAUGUUGCAUCUCUGCAGGGGGAGUUGUCAAUCUAGGCUGUAGAAAGGAAAAGUACUGAUUCCAGUUAUUGUUUCAAAGGGUUGUCAUCUCUACUAAGUUGGUAAUUAGGAAAAUUCUAACACUUUUAUUAUAAUAAUAUGCAUUGAUAAAUUCCCAGAAAUAUAUUAUAUGCGUACUUAGUUUUCUAUUUCAGCAUUGCCCUCAGAGAAAAUGGAAGUCUUAAGUGACACAUUCGAUCAAAAAACUUUAUUAAAGUUUGGCCAAUCAGCCAGCAAAUAUUUAUUUCAAGGCUUCAUAUCUAUCUAUGAGCCUUGACAAAAAAAACAAACAAACCAUGAUCCAUGCCAUAGUUUUUUUUUUUCAACUUAAAUGAGCUGAUAAGAUUUCUAGUCAGAGAAUAAUCAAUUGCUAUAUUGCCAGAAACUACAAUAGGUAUAAAUUAAUGGGAGAUAUCUUGGUGGGCUGAGAGAAUGUUGUCUCAGCUGAGUCUUGAUGGAUUUGGAUAAAAUGUAAAGAAGGGGAAAGCAUUUCAGAAGAGAGGGAAGAACAGGAGCAAAAGUAAAAUGCAAAUGGACCUAGCAUAAAUAAUGACAUGAGCAUAAUGAUGACUUUUGAAUAAUACGAGAUUGUGUUAGGAAGGUAUGAGAGAAAAAUCUUGACUUUGGUAUUACAGAUAAUCAGGGCUUACUGGAUGAGAAGGGCUUAUCAAUGAUUAUUUAAAAUAGAUUAUUAAGGAGAAGAAGUGCAAAGGGAGCCUGGGUGGCUCACUCAGUUAAGUGUCUGACUCUUGCUUUUAGCUUGGGUCAUGAUCUCACUCACAUUUGUGAAUUCGAGCCCCAUGUGGCGCUCCACACAGUGAGGAAAUGCUUGGGAUUCUCUCUCUCUCUCUGUCUCUCUCUCUCUCUCUCUCCGUCUCUCUGUCCCUCCCUUUCCCUCCCCUGCUCUUUCUCUCUCUCUCAAUAUAAAUAAACAUUUUUUUUUUAAAAGAAGUGCAUGAUCUUCUGAUAGCACAUCAUGGUACUACCAUGUGGCCACUAACAUUUUCCAUUCCAACAUGUGAAGAUGACUCUUGCUGUGCAAUUUUUGCAAAUACUCAAAAAAAAAAAAAAAAAAAAAAGAACCAGAGAGCCCAUGAACAUACAUUUCUUCCAUGAUUCUGUACCUUAGAGAGACUUGCAAAGAGUGAGAAAGCCAGGGUUCUUUUCUUAAUUAAACAAUUCUAUAUCUAAAGCCACAACUUGCACAAACUAAGUUUACUGAGGGAGGAGGGAGCUUUGGAGACCCCUUUUACAAAUGGAGAGAGGAGCCAUGUAUUUAUUCUACACCAUCCCAUGCUGUACAACCCACUUUUGGCAUGCGGUAUCUCAUUUCAUCCACAUAAACAUUUUUAAGUAGGUAGCACUAACUCACACAGAAACACUCUAGGUAUGUCAGAGAGAACUUAAUGCAGGCAGUAGUUUAGCUAAAUGAGAAAAAGGGGAAGACGGAUGCAAUUUAGGAAGCAGCUACUAUCCGUAAGGCUGGGGAAACGAAGAAGUUAAGAGUAGCAGGAUGUAGAAGCCAAAACGAUGGCUGCUGAGGUGCUGGAACUUGGACUUCCUGUCUAUGGUCGACACCUCUGAAGGAGGUAUCAUGAGCCUUGUUCUGUCAGUGCCAAUAGGAGCUGAAAACUGGGGCCAAGUGUCACCUCUGGGGGAAGAGUACUUGAGACCCGCAAAGAGAAGAAGGAAGGUCUCUCCCCUCCCCUUCCCCUUCUUUUGGAUGACCUAACAAGAAGCCAGCUGGCAAUGAAGAGAUGUAGCUGGCAAAGCCCCAGCUCCAGCCAUUCACAGCAGAGCACAGAGGGCGAACUGGGAGCUGAGUGACAUAGCAUAUUAACCAGCGUAGCAUUUUACUCAGAAUCUGCACGACGCUCAGAAAAAUUCAGCUGCACUCCUAGUGUCCCAGUCAAUACAUGGCACAGCCGUAAUUUCAACUCCACCAGUGCCCACGCCUCCCAGGCUCCCUUCCCUGGUAACAAACAGCUUGCCUGCUGUGUGUGGCAGUGUCUCACGAGAAUGCUUCCAGAGGUGGCCCCAGGCUCCCGUCAGAGCAUCUAGCAGCAUCUGGCCGUGCGAGACACCAGCACUGGCCACAUACCUUCCUAAGGACACCUUACAACACCUUGCUAGGUAAUUAGGUACCACUGGGGGCUGCAAAGCCAUUUGAGGUUGUACUUGGAUGGAGAAUAGUUUAGCACUGACUCUGAGCCUGAACUAGAGACAGAGAUUUGCUCACCUCCUCUGGGAUCCAUCUCCCACAUCUGGAGUGGGACUUGUUCAUAAAACACUUCACAUUCCAUACAAAGUGGUCCUAAAUACCACAUAUAAAUAUGAUUUUUGAGAAUGAUGUCUUACUUGUAAGGAAGUGCUCUGGCCAAAUUGCAUCUGUAACGCUAGAAGAAUAGGCUGGUGUAUUUUUAUUCUGUCUGUGUGAGUCCCUAAGUGCAGUUAAAUGAGCACGCAUUUUGCCAAUGGUCUUAAAAUAUAAGAGCAGACAAGUUUUACCUGAGUUGCUUUUUUUUUCUUUUUUUGUAAGAAACACAACUUCAGACAACUUGAAACACCCUCACUGGAGAAAUGUUAAUGAGAGGCCUUGGCAUCUAAGAAUCAUUCUUAAAAAUCUCCCACCCUCAAGGAUUCUUUUCUUUCUAAGUGCCGUUCUCAGAUACAAAAUGGAAAAUUCAUAGUAUCUGAAAGGUUAGAUUACUUACUUUAUCACCCUUAUUAUGGUAACUCUAAGACAAACAGCAAGUGGUUUAACAAUUGCCCAUUUAUAAAUGUGAAUGUUUAAAAGAAACACAGAGUUAGGAUUUCAAGUCAUAGGGAAAAUUUUCACAAGCAAUAACAUUAGUCAAAAUGUGUUUGGCUUCACAGUAGGUGGAAAUGUGUGUGGUAGAACAUUUGAGACAAGAACAUGUAUUCAAGCCACAUGCAUUGGACAUUUUCAGUCAAAAGCAAAAACACCUAUAAAUCAGGUUGGAUAUUUACUGUUUUAAUGUCACUAGAAAGUAACUUCUCAGAAGUUACUGGUUGCUGCUGCACAGAAUUUUUCUUCACUUUUUUUUUUGUUAUUGUUACAGUCAAUACCUUGAUUUGUUCCAAGGAAUAAUAUUUACCCCAGGAAAAUGCUUCUUCUCGUCAUUUUUCCUAAACCUCUAAGUACCAAAAGCUCUUUUAGAAGAUGUUUUCUUUUGGGAUUCUCACUGAGCCACCUACUCAUUGGAGGAAAACUACUUCAACACCAAAACCAAAUCAAGCCAAUUAAGCAACACUGUGGCUGAAUGGUCUCACGGUCUGGAAGAUCUCGCGGGGCCACGGACUCCCACAGAGGCCUGAAUAAAGAUACCUUUCUUUUCAAUACAUCGUUGAUCUGACUGAUCUGGUCCAAGUGCCCAUACUUAAAAUUCCAUAAACUACUGAGAUCCCUACGCAGUUUCUCUUUAAUUACCCAGGGAGUACAGUAUGGAUUUGUUAAUUAGUUUUUGCAAUGCCCUGCAAGAUGCCAACAGGAAACAGACGCUGGAUACAAAGUGCUGAAAGUAAGAGUGUUUGCAUAAGAAGUUUACAAAAUCGUUUCAUUUCAAGUUGUUGUCUUUAUUAUUACUUUUUUUUUUCUGCUUUAGCUAUGGACAAGUUUCUUCUGCCCGUACAGGCAUUUAAAAACGAUCACUACCACUUGUAUAAUGUCAACCCCGCUAGUUUAUAUUUAUCUUGUGUGGUUUGUAGUUGGACCUCAUGUAGUAGUUUUAUGGAAACAAGUUUAAAAUUCAUCUUCUUAUUCCCGGUACGCAGUCCAAACUGCAUUUGGGCAACCGAAUGAUGCGAUGAAUGGAAUGAAGAGCUUUUUAUCUGGAUCGUGAAAACUUGAGAAAUCAUUGUUUUUUAAAAAUGAAAAAAAGGUGAAGAAAAUACAUUAUUGAAAUUGUAGAGCUGGAUGUCUCUCACAGAAAAAUCUGUCUCAAAACAAUUUGUGACCCCAACAUAUUAUAUACCAAUAAAUAAGUUUGAGCCAAUUUGCAUUUUUGUAGGGCUGGAAUAAAAAUUGGAACCAGAGAGUAUUUAACUAGAUACAUGCAAAGUAAAUGCUUGUAUACCUCUAUGCUUUCACAUGCAUACAAAUAAACACACGCAUGCACACACACACACACACACACACAUACACACCUUAAAUAAUGUCCAAUUAGUUAUUUAUAAAACAAACACACCUCAGUUAUUGGAGGAAUUGACAUAGUACUGGCCUCUUUCAGUAUUUCAGUGUGUAUAUGGCGUGCUGAGAAAAAGCUAAACACGUGCACACACACCUCUGGGUUCAUGGUUACCUUUUGAUCAGAGGAUUUGCAAAAUAUCCAAAGCCUUGAAAGUAACCAUGAAGUUUGAGAAACAUUUGUAGGUUCUGACAAGCUUCCAAGUUUCCUGGUGGGAAUACUUUGUGUUCUUUUCCAUCCUGCCGGAGGAGAGCAGUGGUUUAUGGACAAGCUCCUAGGCAAUUAGAAUUCCAUAAUUCAAAUUAAUAACCUCAUAAAACACUGCAGAUUAUGUGCUUGGUUUUUUAACCUAUAACUAAAGUACGAUUUUGAUAGUGAUUUUGAAAUUACUUGGAAUGCAUCCCAGCCUUGCUAAAAAUACUUUUUUUUUAAAGUUGAAGACAUUUGAAGUUAAAAAGAUUUCAUCUAAUGAAGAGGUUUUUUGUUUUUUUUUUUUAAUUUACAAUUAGAGUUUCAGAUUAGAAGGACAUGGAAAAUAUUUGAUUUCACUGGUUUUGCUUUACUGGGAAGUAGAUGUUAAGGUCAAAUUUUUCUCACGCUGACCUUUUCCAAGUAGGAAACGGGAAACGGCAGAAGGAGGCAGGAACACGGCUUCAUUUUAUCAUGUUCUCGUUAUGCUUCAUCACAUUGUCUAGUGAAAUGAAUGAAUAAAUUAGGUUUUUGGUUUCAUGUGCUAGAUUAUGUGUUUUAUAUAUUUCACUACUUUUAAUUUAGUAGGGCAGUCCUUUCCAUUAGAACAUGGGUCUCAUUAAAAGAAAUGUUAUUAUGGAACCAUGUGCAUUAGGUUUAAUUUUCACUCAAUUUAAAAAGAAUACUUGGGAGAGUAUUGCAUCGAAGCACAAGAAAAUGAUUAGUUGGGGUUCCUUUUAAAGAGAGGAGCCAAAUGUGUGAGAAGUAGUGCCUCUGGGGCAAAUAAAACAAUCAAGUAGUCGGAAAUGGGGUUGCAGGGCUUUGCAUAAAUGACCAUACUGCUUUGUUUUCAGACCUCCUGCCUUUCUUAAUGACCAUUUCUCUUUUUUUCUUGAAGCAACAGUCAAAGAAGGGCUAGGGGUAGAGGGAGGAAGAGGAGGGCUUUGGCCCAACUAGGACAAGACUGCUAGAGGGAUGCCUUUAAGGAUUUCUUAAAUUUCCUCACGGAGAGAAAUGUCCAGUUUAUUACUGAGAUGCGGAAU